CCCUAAUACUGCAGUCGAACGAGGAGCCAUUGUAUUCGUACGGUGGUUUCCUAGUGGCGAACGGGUGAGUAACGCGUUGGUGACCUGCCCCAAAGAGAGGGAUAACAGCUCGAAAGGGCUGCUAAUACCUCAUGUGGACACAGAGAUUAGAGGCUCUGUGUCUAAAGGAGCAAUCCACUUCGGGAGGGGCCUGCGUCCCAUCAGCUAGUUGGUAGGGUAAUGGCCUACCAAGGCGACGACGGGUAGGGGACCUGAGAGGGUGACCCCCCACACUGGCACUGAAACACGGGCAGACACCUACGGGUGGCAGCAGUAGGGAAUAUUGCACAAUGGGCGAAAGCCUGAUGCAGCAACGCCGCGUGCACGAAGAAGGCCCUCGGGUCGUAAAGUGCUUUUCGGGGAGAUGAGAAAGGACAGUAUCCCCGGAAUAAGGAUCGGCUAACUACGUGCCAGCAGCCGCGGUAAAACGUAGGAUCCGAGCGUUAUCCGAAUUUACUGGGCGUAAAGCGCGUGUAGGCGGUUGGGUAAGUUGGAUGUGAAAGCUCCCGGCUCAACUGGGAGAGGUCGUUCAAUACUGCCGAACUAGAGGAUGGUAGAGGGAGGUGGAAUUCCCGGUGUAGUGGUGAGAUGCGUAGAUAUCGGGAGGAACACCAGUGGCGAAGGCGGCCUCCUGGGCCAUUCCUGACGCUCAGACGCAAGCUAGGGCAGCAAACGGGAUUAGAAACCCCGGUAGUCCUAGCUGUAAACGAUGUGGACUUGGCGUUGGUGGGGUAAAAGCCAUCAGUGCCGUAGCUAACGCGAUAAGUCCACCGCCUGGGGACUACGACCGCAAGGCUAAAACUCAAAGGAAUUGACGGGGACCCGCACAAGCAGCGGAGCGUGUGGUUUAAUUCGAUGCUACGCGAAGAACCUUACCCGGGUUUGACAUACUGGUGGUAGGGAUCCGAAAGGUGACCGACCCUUCGGGGAGCCAGUCAGGUGCUGCAUGGCGUCCUCAGCUCGUGCC
rnacentral:rRNA from 1 species